rnacentral:rRNA from 1 species
CCUACGGGAGGCAGCAGUGGGGAAUAUUGGACAAUGGGCGAAAGCCUGAUCCAGCCAUGCCGCGUGUGUGAAGAAGGUCUUCGGAUUGUAAAGCACUUUAAGUUGGGAGGAAGGGUUGUAGAUUAAUACUCUGCAAUUUUGACGUUACCGACAGAAUAAGCACCGGCUAGCUCUGUGCCAGCAGCCGCGGUAAUACAGAGGGUGCAAGCGUUAAUCGGAAUUACUGGGCGUAAAGCGCGCGUAGGUGGUUCGUUAAGUUGGAUGUGAAAUCCCCGGGCUCAACCUGGGAACUGCAUCCAAAACUGGCGAGCUAGAGUAUGGUAGAGGGUGGUGGAAUUUCCUGUGUAGCGGUGAAAUGCGUAGAUAUAGGAAGGAACACCAGUGGCGAAGGCGACCACCUGGACUGAUACUGACACUGAGGUGCGAAAGCGUGGGGAGCAAACAGGAUUAGACUACCCGUGGUACGUCCACGACCGUAACCGACUAGUCAACUACGCCGUUACGGUAGGCCGUU